GACGAACGCUAGCGGGAGGCCUAACACAUGCAAGCCGAGCGGUAUUAUUUCUUCGGAAAUGAGAGAGCGGCGUACGGGUGCGGAACACGUGUGCAACCUGCCUUUAUCUGGGGGAUAGCCUUUCGAAAGGAAGAUUAAUACUCCAUAACAUAUUGAACGGCAUCGUUUGAUAUUGAAAGCUCCGGCGGAUAGCGAUGGGCACGCGCAAGAUUAGCUAGUUGGUGAGGUAACGGCUCACCAAGGCGAUGAUCUUUAGGGGGCCUGAGAGGGUGAUCCCCCACACUGGUACUGAGACACGGACCAGACUCCUACGGGAGGCAGCAGUGAGGAAUAUUGGUCAAUGGGUGCAAGCCUGAACCAGCCAUCCCGCGUGAAGGACGACUGCCCUAUGGGUUGUAAACUUCUUUUGUAUAGGGAUAAACCUACCCUCGUGAGGGUAGCUGAAGGUACUAUACGAAUAAGCACCGGCUAACUCCGUGCCAGCAGCCGCCGUAAUAC
rnacentral:rRNA from 1 species